rnacentral:rRNA from 1 species
UACGAGGGGGGCAAGCGUUGUUCGGAAUUAUUGGGCGUAAAGAGUGUGUAGGCGGUGCUCUAAGUUCGGUGUGAAAUCUCCUGGCUCAACUGGGAGGGUGCGCCGGAAACUGCCGUGCUGGAGUGUGGGAGAGGUGCGUGGAAUUCCUGGUGUAGCGGUGAAAUGCGUAGAUAUCAGGAGGAACACCUGUGGCGAAAGCGGCGCACUGGACCACAACUGACGCUGAGGCGCGAAAGCUAGGGGAGCAAACAGG